rnacentral:tRNA from 1 species
GGUGAUGUGGCUGAUUAAAGCGGUAAAUUGUAAAUUUAUUAAAAAUAUUAUAUUCAUUAUUA